rnacentral:snoRNA from 1 species
UGGAUUGAUGAUGAUCAAUGCCAACGUAUGAGUCCCUGAUUAUGAAUAAUAAGUGUCUGGAACUCUGAGGUCCAA